rnacentral:rRNA from 1 species
UACGUAGGGUGCGAGCGUUGCCCGGAUUUAUUGGGCGUAAAGAGCGUGUAGGCGGCCAUGCAGGUCAGCUGUGAAAACUCGAGGCUCAACCUCGAGACGUCGGUUGAAACCGUAUGGCUAGAGUCCGGAAGAGGAGAGUGGAAUUCCCGGUGUAGCGGUGAAAUGCGCAGAUAUCGGGAAGAACACCUAUGGCGAAGGCAGCUCUCUGGGACGGUACUGACGCUGAGGAGCGAAAGCGUGGGGAGCAAACAGG